UAAGGCGAGGCCGAAAGGCGUAGUCGAUGGGAAAAUGGUUAAUAUUCCAUUACUUCUGUGUAAUGCGAUGAGAGGACGGAGAAGGCUAAAUCAGCCUGGCGUUGGUUGUCCAGGUGAAAGGAUGUAGGCAUGUAUCUUAGGCAAAUCCGGGGUACUCUAUGCUGAGAUCUGAUAGCAAGCUGUACUUGUACAGCGAAGUGGUUGAUGCCAUGCUUCCAGGAAAAGUCUCUAAGCUUCAGUUACACAGGAAUCGUACCCGAAACCGACACAGGUGGUCAGGUCGAGUAGACCAAGGCGCUUGAGAGAACUCUGCUGAAGGAACUAGGCAAAAUGGUACCGUAACUUCGGGAGAAGGUACGCUGUUGUUGGUGAUGGAACUCGCUUCCUGAGCUGACGACAGCCGCAGAAACCAGGCCGCUGCAACUGUUUAUUAAAAACAUAGCACUCUGCAAACACGAAAGUGGACGUAUAGGGUGUGAUGCCUGCCCGGUGCUGGAAGGUUAAUUGAUGGGGUUAGCGUAAGCGAAGCUCUUGAUCGAAGCCCCAGUAAACGGCGGCCGUAACUAUAACGGUCCUAAGGUAGCGAAAUUCCUUGUCGGGUAAGUUCCGACCUGCACGAAUGGCAUAAUGAUGGCGGCGCUGUCUCCAGCAGAGGCUCAGUGAAAUCGAAAUCGCUGUGAAGAUGCAGUGUACCCGCGGCUAGACGGAAAGACCCCGUGAACCUUUACUGCAGCUUGACACUGAACUUUGACCUUACUUGUGUAGGAUAGGUGGGAGGCUUUGAAGCUGGAACGCUAGUUCCAGUGGAGCCGUCCUUGAAAUACCACCCUGGUAAUGUUGAGGUUCUAACUCUGUCCCGUGAUCCGGGACGAGGACCGUGUCUGGUGGGUAGUUUGACUGGGGCGGUCUCCUCCUAAAGAGUAACGGAGGAGUACGAAGGUGCGCUCAGCGUGGUCGGAAAUCACGCGUAGAGUAUAAAGGCAAAAGCGCGCUUAACUGCGAGACCCACAAGUCGAGCAGGUACGAAAGUAGGUCUUAGUGAUCCGGUGGUUCUGUAUGGAAGGGCCAUCGCUCAACGGAUAAAAGGUACUCUGGGGAUAACAGGCUGAUACCGCCCAAGAGUUCAUAUCGACGGCGGUGUUUGGCACCUCGAUGUCGGCUCAUCUCAUCCUGGGGCUGAAGCAGGUCCCAAGGGUAUGGCUGUUCGCCAUUUAAAGAGGUACGCGAGCUGGGUUUAGAACGUCGUGAGACAGUUCGGUCCCUAUCUACCGUGGGCGCUGGAAAUUUGAGAGGAUCUGCUCCUAGUACGAGAGGACCAGAGUGGACGAACCUCUGGUGUACCGGUUGUGACGCCAGUCGCAUCGCCGGGUAGCUAUGUUCGGAAGGGAUAACCGCUGAAAGCAUCUAAGCGGGAAGCCUACCUCAAGAUAAGAUUUCCCUAGGACUUUAUGUCCUCUAAAGAGCCGUUCGAGACUAGGACGUUGAUAGGUUGGAUGUGGAAGCAUAGUGAUAUGUGAAGCUGACCAAUACUAAUUGCUCGUGAGGCUUGACUAU
rnacentral:rRNA from 1 species